GAUGAACGCUGGCGGCGUGCUUAACACAUGCAAGUCGAACGAUGAUGCCCAGCUUGCUGGGUGGAUUAGUGGCGAACGGGUGAGAAACACGUGAGUAACCUGCCCUUGACUCUGGGAUAAGCCUGGGAAACUGGGUCUAAUACCGGAUACGACCAUCUGGCGCAUGUCAUGGUGGUGGAAAGCUUUGGUGGUUUUGGAUGGACUCGCGGCCUAUCAGCUUGUUGGUGGGGUAAUGGCCUACCAAGGCGACGACGGGUAGCCGGCCUGAGAGGGUGACCGGCCACACUGGGACUGAGACACGGCCCAGACUCCUACGGGAGGCAGCAGUGGGGAAUAUUGCACAAUGGGCGCAAGCCUGAUGCAGCGACGCCGCGUGAGGGAUGACGGCCUUCGGGUUGUAAACCUCUUUCAGUAGGGAAGAAGCGAAAGUGACGGUACCUGCAGAAGAAGCGCCGGCUAACUACGUG
rnacentral:rRNA from 1 species